AUGCAACCUUUAGCUGAUGAACUGAUGCAAUUGUGGACGGGGGUUGAAACAUGGGAUGCUUAUCACAAGGUAAACUUUCCAAUGAAAGCGGCAUUUCUAUGGUCAGUCCACGACUUUCCUGCCUUUGGUAUGUUCGCUGGGUGGAGCACCCAUGGUAAGCUAGCAUGCCCUGAAUGCAUGAGUGAUUCCAAAGCAUUUACUCUUCAAUACGGGCGGAAGCCUUGCUGGUUUGAUUGUCAUAGGCGCUUUCUACCUCCAGAUCAUGAAUUCAGAUUCCAGGCUAAUUCAUUUAGAAAGGAUACAAUAGUGUUAGAAGGGCCUCCAAGGCAUUUAACAGGAGAGGAAGUGGAAUCUCACAUGUACACACAUGUGAAUGACAUCUUCAAUUACAAUAAAUUGCACAAAUGGACUCACAUAAGCUGCUUUUGGCAACUUCCAUACUUCAAAAAGGUGAAGCUCCGACACAACAUCGAUGUGAUGCACAAUGAAAAAAAUGUAGCUGAAGCUAUAUUUAACACAUGCUUUGACAUUCCUGAUAAAACUAAAGAUAAUGUGAAGGCAAGAAAAGAUCUAGCUGAAAUUUGCAACCGUCCUUCGAUGCACUUGAAAUUGCAAGACAAUGGGAAGUGGGAGAAGCCAAGAGCACCUUUUGUCAUCGAUAAGAACGAUGUGAUAACCAUUCUGAAAUGGUUCCAAGAGCUGAAGUUCCCUGAUGGGUAUGCAUCAAGCUUUAGACGGGGAGUUAGCCUACUACACAAAAAGAUUUUUGGCCUCAAAAGUCAUGAUUACCAUAUCUUCAUGGAACGCCUACUUCCUGUUUCAUUUCGUGGCUUCCUUCCAGAGGACAUAUGGAAGUGUCUAGCAGAGCUAAGUUAUUUCUAUAAGAAGCUAUGUGCAAAAGAACUUAGCAAGGAUACCAUACAUUCACUUGAGUAG
rnacentral:rRNA from 1 species